AGAGUUUGAUCCUGGCUCAGUACGAACGCUGGCGGCGUGCCUAACACAUGCAAGUCGAGCGGAGACAGUGAGUAGCUUGCUAUGAGCUGUUUUAGCGGCGGACGGGUGAGUUACGCGUGAGCAACCUUUCCCAGACAGGGGAAUAACACACCGAAAGGUGUACUAAUACCGCAUAAGACCACGGGAUCACAUGGUUCUGGGGUAAAAGAUUUAUCGGUUUGGGGUGGGCUCGCGUCCGAUUAGGUAGUUGGUGAGGUAACGG
rnacentral:rRNA from 1 species